ACAGCCAUCAAUUGUAUUGAUGACCAUAUGAUCUGGUAUAAAACAAGCCUCAGUGUAUUUGAAAGCAUGUGCCAUGCAGCAAUGUAAAGAUCAACAUAAGGAGCACUACUCCAGGAAAAGUGGCACAUGAAGGUGCUAAAGGCUAAUUUCUGCAGUUAAGGGAUAGACAGGUGAGUAAUGAAGCAUGAAGCAGAGUCAAGCAGAGAAAAAAGUGAAGAGUUUUCCAAGUAACAUUUACUUCAGGCAUUAAAGAGCCAAUAGUCAAAAAGUGUAAGAAAUGUCUACACCUAAGGAAAAAACCAGCUUUUUAGUAGCAUGAA